UUAAGUAGGUUUAUGGCAAACCCGGGGAAACCACAUUGGGCUGGCUUAAAAUGGCUAUUACGGUAUAUAGCUGGGACACUAAGUGUAGGAUUAGUGUACAAAAAGGGAUCAGAACCAUUAACCCUUAAAGGGUACGUGGAUUCUGAUUUUGCUGGAGAUAAGGAUCAAAGAAAAUCUACCACAGCUUUUUUCUUUACACUUGGUGAUAAUUGUAUCACAUGGAAGUCUCAACUUCAACCAAUUGUCACUUUAUCUAGUACUGAAGCUGAAUAUGUGGCAAUUACUGAAUGUGUUAAAGAAUGUAUAUGGCUGAAAGGAAUUUUAAGUGAACUGAAUUUUCUUCUUUCAUCACAUGUUAUUCUUACUGAUAGUCAGAGUGCAUUAUUGUUAAGCAAGAACCCUGUCUAUCAUGAAAGGUCCAAGCACUUUGAGGUGAAGUAUCAUUUCAUAAGAGAGAAACUAUCUUUAGGUGAAAUGAUGUUAGAGUAAAUUCAUACUGACAUUAACCCAUCUGAUAUGGGCACAAAAAUUCUGCCUGUGAGUAAGUUUAGAAUGUGUUUGUCACUUCUCAACAUUGAUACUGGGUAAUUUUUCUUUGCAGGUACCUAAGGCAAUGAUGUUGUUCAGCCUUUCCACAAUAGUGCAAUUCAGCAACUGAGAGAGUGAGUGCAAUUUUGAGAACCAAGGUGAAGAUUGAAGGAGAAAAAAAAAACGUGGUUCUCCAAAUUAGCAACUAAUGAGAGGGCAAUCUGGACAUUUGCUGUAUUUUAAGUUGGUAGAUAUCACGUGGCAGCUCCUGAUUCGUGUAUUUGAUAUGACCCGGAUAUGUGUUUCUUCUGGUUGGAUGUGGACCAUUGGAUUAAAUGAAUGGUGGAGAUUAAACUAGAGUUGGCCCUUAGUUUUGAUAACCAGCUGGAAGGGUGGUAUUAUUAUUUCAUACGGUUUUGAUAAUAUCUCCUUUUUUCUCUCUCUGGUGGUCGACUCUUCUUCUCCCUUUCUUGGCUCUUUGAAUCUGGAGAUUGUUUCUCCAUUUGGAUGAUUCUGGUUAAAUGUAAAUACUAUAGUAAAUAGAGGACGGUCUUGUAUGCGUGAUCUGUCUUGUUUUUGUAGUUGUAGUCGGUUAGGGAGGAAGCUGUGAGUUUAUGUCCAGAUUUGAGAUCCGAUUUUAGGGUUGAUGAUUGAUCUGAUUUUCUAUCUUGGUUCUAUGUACUGUACACUCUCUCUGUGAGGCAGAAUUGCACUAGUGGAUUGGGCUAACCUGAGCCCCUCAGAUUAAGCCUUCAAGGCCGAACUGGGUGACCAUUCUUGUGUUCUUAUUUUCUUGCACUUUAUAUUUGUGUUGUGUUUGAUGUGUUUUUCGGUGUUGGGGUACGAAUUUCCUAACAACAACCUCAUUGUAGCCAUCAUGAAACCCAGAUUUGUGACUCAAUUUGAAGAAAUGUAAAUUCAAAGGCAAAAAAUUACGUCUUAUUUAAGGAUGCCCUAAAUAAAAUCUAAGUAAAGUUUCAAUCUAUGCAUCUCGCCUUCUGUUCUAUGAUAAUUUCUUAAUUUAAUGGAUUUUGAAGGAAGAAAAUGAAGCAGCCACUGUAGAUUUUUCUAUGGAUUAGCGGUCGCAAAAAAGAAAUUCACUUAGAUGUUAAAUCAUCAAUCCAACGGUGCAAGAAAAAGAAACAUAAUUCCAAUAGGUUAAACGAGGUACACACUAGUGGAAGGAGAUACUAAUUUUCAAUAGGUGGUUUUGUUCAAUUGACAUUACCAACGAGGGUGUUGCAGGAGGAAAGGCUGAAACAUAUUCAAAUUUUGCACGUGAGAAGAAUGAUUCGAAUAUGUUAUAGAUAGAGCAUUAAAUGUUAAAUUUGUGUACUGUUACUUAUCUAUCCAUAAACACUUUGCUAUAUUAUAUAUUCGCUUUAUUACGACAAUUAAAUGAAUUAGCUACAGUGAUACAUUAGUUAAGUUAAAAAGCAUUGCAAUUUUUUAUUCCCACAAAUACACACAAUAUUGAAGUAGCUACAGUAAUUAACUUGUUUAGCUACAGUGCAAGUAUUUGUCUUCUCACACACAGUGCAUAUACACACAUUACAAAGGAAACCAGAUUGGAACCGGUUCAAUGUGAAAUGAAGGGUCCAAAAAUGAAGAGUAAAUGACCAUCCUCUCUUUUAAGGUAUGUUAAACUCGUGUGCUAUUUCUUUUCUAUCCAUAAGCACUUUGCUACAGUACAUAUUGGCUUUGUUAGGAUAGUCAAAUGAAGUAGCUACAAUAAUAUAUCUGUUCAGCUACAGUGCACUGCCAUUUUUUAUUUUCACACAUACACAAAAUAUUGAAGUAGCUACAAUGAUUAACUUGUUCAGCUAUAGUGCAAGCAUUUUGUCUUUCCACACACAAUGCAUAUGCACACAUAACAAAGGAAACCAAAUUGGAAUCGGUUCAAUGUGAAAUAAAAGAUCCAAAAAAUGAAGAGUAAAUGACCAUUCUCACUUUUUAGGUAUAUUAAACUCGUGUGCUGUUAAUUUUCUAUCCAUAAACACUUUGCUACAUUACAUAUUAAUUUUGUUUCGACAGUCAAAUGAAUUAGCUAAAGAAUAUAUCAGUUCAGCUACAGUGCACUGUCAUUUUUUAUUCCCACACAUAAACACAAUAUUGAAGUAGCUGCUGUAAUUAACUUGUUCAGCUACAGUGCAAGCAUUUUGUCUUCUCACAUACUAUGCAUAUCCACACAUUACAAUGGAAACCAGAUUGGAAUCAAUUUAACGUCAAAUAAAUGGUUCAAAAAGGAACAAUAAAUGGCCAUCAUCUCUUUUAAGUGCAUAUGCACACAUUACAACGGAAACCAGAUUGGAACUAGUUCAAUGUGAAAUGAAGGAUCCAAAAUUGAAGAGUAAAUGGUCAUCCUCUCUUUUAAGGUAUGUUAAUUUUCUGUGCUAUUACUUUUCUAUCCAUAAACACUUUACUACAUUACAUAUUGGCUUUGUUACGACAAUCAAACGAAUUAGCUACAGUAAUACAUCUGUUCAACUAUAGUGCACUGCCAUUUUUUAUUCUCACACACACAUAAUAUUGAAGUAGCUAGAGUAAUUAACUUGUUCAACCACAGUGCAAGUAUUUUGUCUUUUCACAUACAGUGCAUAUGCACACAUUGCAAAGGAAACCAGAUUGUAACCGAUUCAAUGUGAAAUGAAUGGUCCAAAACGAAGAGUAAAUGGUCAUCCUCUCUUUUAAGGUAUGUUUAACUCACGUGCUGUUACUUUUCUAUUCAUAAACACUUUGCUACAUUACAUAUUGGCUUUGUCAUGACAAUUAAAUGAAUUAGCUACAGUAAUACAUCAGUUCAAUUACAGUUUUACUGCCAUUUUUUAUUCGCACACAUAUACACAAAAUUGGGGUAGCUACAGCUAUUUUACUUGGCGAACUACAGUUCAAGCAUUUUGUCUUCCCAUAUACUGUGCAUAUCCACACAUUACAAAGGAAGCUAGAUUGGAAUCGGUUCAAUGUGAAAUGAAGGGUCCAAAAUGAAGAGUAAAUGGUCAUCCUCUCCUUUAAGGUAUGUUAAACAAGUGUGCUGUUACUUUUCUAUCCAUAAACACUUGUUACAUUACAUAUUGACUUUAUUAGAACAGUAAAUGAAUUAGCACAGUGAUACAUCGGUUCAGCUAUAGUGUAUUGCCAUUUUUUAUUCCCACAAAUAUACAAAAUAUUGAAGUAGUACAGUAAUUAACUUGUUUAGCUAUAGUGCAAGCAUCUUAUCUUCCCAUACACAGUAUAUAUGCACACAUUACAAAGGAAACCAGAUUGGAAUCAGUUCGAUAUGAAAUGAAGGUCCAAAAAUGAAAAGUAAAUGACAAUCCUCUCUUUUAUGGUUUGUUAAACUCGCAUGUUAUUACUUUUCUAUCGAUAAGCACUUUGUUACAUUA